rnacentral:rRNA from 1 species
AGUCGAACGAACACUUAAGAUUGAUUCUUCGGAUGAAGCCUUUUGUGACUGAGUGGCGGACGGGUGAGUAACGCGUGGGUAACCUGCCUCAUACAGGGGGAUAACAGUUAGAAAUGACUGCUAAUACCGCAUAAGCGCACAGGGUCGCAUGACCUAGUGUGAAAAACUCCGGUGGUAUGAGAUGGACCCGCGUCUGAUUAGCUAGUUGGCGAGGUAACGGCCCACCAAGGCGACGAUCAGUAGCCGACCUGAGAGGGUGAUCGGCCACAUUGGGACUGAGACACGGCCCAAACUCCUACGGGAGGCAGCAGUGGGGAAUAUUGCACAAUGGGGGAAACCCUGAUGCAGCGACGCCGCGUGAAGGAAGAAGUAUUUCGGUAUGUAAACUUCUAUCAGCAGGGAAGAAAAUGACGGUACCUGACUAAGAAGCCCCGGCUAACUACGUGCCAGCAGCCGCGGUAAUACGUAGGGGGCAAGCGUUAUCCGGAUUUACUGGGUGUAAAGGGAGCGUAGGCGGUCUGACAAGUCAGAAGUGAAAGCCCGGGGCUCAACUCCGGGACUGCUUUUGAAACUGCCGGACUAGAUUGCAGGAGAGGUAAGUGGAAUUCCUAGUGUAGCGGUGAAAUGCGUAGAUAUUAGGAGGAACACCAGUGGCGAAGGCGGCUUACUGGACUGUAAAUGACGCUGAGGCUCGAAAGCGUGGGGAGCAAACAGGAUUAGAUACCCUGGUAGUCCACGCCGUANACGAUGAAUANUAGGUGUUGGGGAGCACAGCUCUUCGGUGCCGCAGCAAACGCAAUAAGUAU